rnacentral:rRNA from 1 species
AGUGGCGGACGGGUGAGUAACGCGUAAGAAUCUAACUUCAGGACGGGGACAACAGUGGGAAACGACUGCUAAUACCCGAUGUGCCGCGAGGUGAAACCUAAUUGGCCUGAAGAAGAGCUUGCGUCUGAUUAGCUAGUUGGUGGGGUAAGAGCCUACCAAGGCGACGAUCAGUAGCUGGUCUGAGAGGAUGAGCAGCCACACUGGGACUGAGACACGGCCCAGACUCCUACGGGAGGCAGCAGUGGGGAAUUUUCCGCAAUGGGCGAAAGCCUGACGGAGCAACGCCGCGUGAGGGAGGAAGGUCUUUGGAUUGUAAACCUCUUUACUCAAGGAAGAAGUUCUGACAGUACUUGAGGGAUCAGCCUCGGCUAACUCCGUGCCAGCAGCCGCGGUAAUGCGGGGGAGGCAAGCGUUAUCCGGAAUUAUUGGGCGUAAAGCGUCCGCAGGUGGUCAGCCAAGUCUGCCGUCAAAUCAGGUUGCUUAACGACCUAAAGGCGGUGGAAACUGGCAGACUAGAGAGCAGUAGGGGUAGCAGGAAUUCCCAGUGUAGCGGUGAAAUGCGUAGAGAUUGGGAAGAACAUCGGUGGCGAAAGCGUGCUACUGGGCUGUAUCUGACACUCAGGGACGAAAGCUAGGGGAGCGAAAGGGAUUAGAUACCCCUGUAGUCCUAGCCGUAAACGAUGGAUACUAGGCGUGGCUU